rnacentral:lncRNA from 1 species
UAAACCCCGUUAUAUUUUACCUUAGUAUGAGAGGCGCGGAGGGUAUCUCCUAAGGUAUAUUUAGAGUUCACUUCACGCCGAAUCACCACAUGAGGGUGAAACUCAGUCAACGUCAAGGAACGGCUACGUUUUUAAAUGUAAAAACAUGUUUUAUGUAUAUAUCGUUGUAACAGCCUUGGCGGACUCGGUUGGAAGCCCGGGCCAAGGUGUCUCCAAGUACGAGUUUUGGCAAGAGCCAAGUUUUAAGAGAGUCAUAAGCCUUACUAAUUAAUUUUGAUGAAAUGUAAUUGUUUUAUAUGAAUUGAAAUGAGUUUUGAAUGUUAUGAAUUAUAUUAUGAUGGGAUAAUUUAACUGUCUCCAUUUACUCAGCUUUAGAUGUUAUAGAUGAACUUUUGCUUACUCACUGGGUUUAUAAAAACUCACCCCUUCUUUUCACCCAUUUCAAGCUCAGGAGAGUCUGUAGACAGCCUAUUUUGUCGAGGAUUGCUUUUGGAUCUG